rnacentral:rRNA from 1 species
GACGAACGCUGGCGGCGUGCUUAACACAUGCAAGUCGAACGGGAUGUAGUAGACAGAAGCCUCGGCUAAAGAUUACUAAUGAGAGUGGCGAACGGGUGAGUAACGCCUGAGCAACCUGCCUAUGACAGUGGGAUAGCCUCGGGAAACCGGGAUUAAUACCGCAUCAAAUCGUAGAAACACAUGUUUUAACGGUCAAGGAUUUAUCGGUCAAAUAUGGGCUCGCGUCUGAUUAGCUAGUUGGUGAGAUAACAGCCCACCAAGGCGACGAUCAGUAGCCGGUGGGAGAGGAUGAAACGACACAUCGGAAAUGAGACACAGUCCAAAAUCCUACGGGAGGGAGGAGAGGGGAAUAUAGCACCAUGGGGGAAAUCAUGAUGCAGCGACGCCGGGUGAACGAAGAAGGUAGUCGUAAAGUAAAGUGCUGUCCUAUGGGAAGAUAAUGACGGUACCAGAGAAGAAAGCUCCGGCUAACUACGUG